rnacentral:rRNA from 1 species
AACGAACGCUGGCGGCAGGCUUAACACAUGCAAGUCGAACGCCCCGCAAGGGGAGUGGCAGACGGGUGAGUAACGCGUGGGAACGUGCCCUUCGCUUCGGAAUAUUCCCGGGAAACUGGGAGCAAUGCCGGAUACGCCGAAUUGGGAAAGAUUUAUCGGCGAAGGAUCGGCCCGCGUUAGAUUAGGUAGUUGGUGGGGUAAUGGCCUACCAAGCCUACGAUCUAUAGCUGGUCUGAGAGGAUGAUCAGCCACACUGGGACUGAGACACGGCCCAGACUCCUACGGGAGGCAGCAGUGGGGAAUCUUGGACAAUGGGCGCAAGCCUGAUCCAGCCAUGCCGCGUGAGUGAAGAAGGCCUUAGGGUUGUAAAACUCUUUCGCCGGUGAAGAUAAUGACGGUAGCCGGAGAAGAAGCCCCGGCUAACUUCGUGCCAGCCGCCGCCGUAAUAC